rnacentral:miRNA from 1 species
CUGGAAUCGAACUCAGGUC